rnacentral:tmRNA from 1 species
CCACUUCCCAUUAACGUGCGAGCCCCUAUAUAGGGGCUGCCGGUUUCGGCCGGCUAUGGCGAUAAACGGUGCCGUGCAAUAGGCACAGCGGACCCGGGGGCAGUACCCGGCGGCUCCACCAUAAAUCGCGAAAUUUCGCGGUUUAAGACGGGGCCGAACCAGGAUCGACGUGUGUUGAAAGACGGCAACUUUCGCCCGGCCUGAAUGCGCCGUAAAACCGUUCACAACUCAUAAGAGCCAACGAUAACGAAGCUCUUGCGAUUGCUGCGUAACCCAAGGCCUAACGGUCUAAGUUACUAAGACAAAAGCGCGGUUGGACCGCACCGGGCACCAGAAGCGGAAACCAGCGGCCCGGGGGGCGCCGGGCAACAGAAGCCCCCCACU